rnacentral:misc_RNA from 1 species
GUGAACAUGUUUUGUCCUUAAUUUGAGAGGGAAGUUGGAUGUGAGGGAUCAACCAUUGCCACGUUGCCUUCAAAAGUUAUCCCACAAGUCAAUAGAGGCUUUCCUUAACUUCAGCCAAAUNNNNNNNNNNUUUAACACUGAAAGCUCAGUACCAACUAAACCCAACUAUGUACCUACUCCAAAUUUAGCCGCCCAUCUUUAACUCUGGUGUAGGGUUUCCAUUCUAGCAAGUACCAUUUCCAUCAAAUUCCCCAAUGACCAGAGGCCGCUCUUUAAAUCAAAACUUCCCUUCUCAAUCUUAGGCUUCCUUCACCGAUCUGGAUUCAUAACCGGAGAAAAGAAAACAGGUCGGUUUUUCAAGCUCUCAAAUUGUCCCUACGGCUCCUGUAACCAUUUGACCUUCGGAGUCAGGGCUGCAGUUGCUUGUUUUGGCUCUUCACUCACCACUCCGGUGCCUGUUGGCUGUACCUACCUUCCUCCACUGUAGAACUGAACUGGCUGACUUCCCUAUUAGGUCCAAAC